rnacentral:tRNA from 2 species
GCCCCUGUAGCUCAGAGGAUAGAGCGUCGGCCUCCGAAGCCGGAAGCCCAGGUUCGAGUCCUGGCAGGGGCA